GUGUCAGCCGCCGCGGUAAUACAGAGGGUGCGAGCGUUGUCCGGAAUCACUGGGCGUAAAGGGCGCGUAGGCGGCUUGAUAAGGUUGCGGUGAAAGCCCGGGGCUCAACCCCGGGUCGGCCGUGGCAACUGUCGAGCUGGAGCACUGUAGAGGCAGGUGGAAUUCCGGGUGUAGCGGUGGAAUGCGUAGAGAUCCGGAAGAACACCGGUGGCGAAGGCGGCCUGCUGGGCAGUGGCUGACGCUGAGGCGCGACAGCGUGGGGAGCAAACAGGAUUAGAUACCCUGGUAGUCCACGCCGUAAACGAUGGGCACUAGGUGCUUGGGGGAGCGACCCUCCGAGUGCCGGCGCUAACGCAUUAAGUGCCCCGCCUGGGGAGUACGGCCGCAAGGCUGAA
rnacentral:rRNA from 1 species